GAUGAACGCUAGCUACAGGCUUAACACAUGCAAGUCGAGGGGAAACGACAUCGAAAGCUUGCUUUUGAUGGGCGUCGACCGGCGCACGGGUGAGUAACGCGUAUCCAACCUGCCCAUCACUUGGGGAUAACCUUGCGAAAGUAAGACUAAUACCCAAUGAUAUCUCUAGAAGACAUCUGAAAGAGAUUAAAGAUUUAUCGGUGAUGGAUGGGGAUGCGUCUGAUUAGCUCGUUGGCGGGGUAACGGCCCACCAAGGCGACGAUCAGUAGGGGUUCUGAGAGGAAGGUCCCCCACAUUGGAACUGAGACACGGUCCAAACUCCUACGGGAGGCAGCAGUGAGGAAUAUUGGUCAAUGGACGAGAGUCUGAACCAGCCAAGUAGCGUGCAGGAUGACGGCCCUAUGGGUUGUAAACUGCUUUUAUAAGGGAAUAAAGUGAGUCUCGUGAGACUUUUUGCAUGUACCUUAUGAAUAAGGACCGGCUAAUUCCGUGCCAGCCGCCGUCGUAA
rnacentral:rRNA from 1 species